AGCGAACGCUGGCGGCAGGCCUAACACAUGCAAGUCGAACGAACCUUUCGGGGUUAGUGGCGGACGGGUGAGUAACCCGUGGGAACGUGCCUUUAGGUUCGGAAUAACUCAGGGAAACUUGUGCUAAUACCGAAUGUGCCCUUCCGGGGAACGAUUAAUCGCCUUUAGAGCGGCCCGCGUCUGAUUAGCUAGUUGGUUGAGUUAAUGGCUCACCAAGGCGACGAUCAGUAGCUGGUCUGAGAGGAUGAUCAGCCACAUUGGGACUGAGACACGGCGCAAACUCCUACGGGAAGCAGCAGUGGGGAAUCUUGCGCAAUGGGCGAAAGCCUGACGCAGCCAUGCCGCGUGAAUGAUGUAGGUCUUAGGAUUGUAAAAUUCUUUCAGCGGGGACGAUAAUGACGGUACCCGGAGAAGAAGCCCCGGCUAACUUCGUG
rnacentral:rRNA from 1 species